CCUACGGGGGGCUGCAGUAAGGAAUAUUGGUCAAUGCCCGCAAGGGUGAACCAGCCAUUCCGCGUGGAGGAUGAAGGCCCUAUGGGUUGUAAACUUCUUUUAGAUGGGAAGAAAAUGCUAGAUGUAUCUGGUACUGACGGUACCAUCAGAAUAAGCACCGGCUAACUCCGUGCCAGCAGCCGCGGUAAUACGGAGGGUGCGAGCGUUAUCCGGAAUUACUGGGUUUAAAGGGUGCGUAGGCGGAUGAUUAAGUCUAAGGUGAAAGUUUGUCGCUUAACGAUAAAAUUGCCUUGGAUACUGGUUAUCUUGAAUAAGGAUGAGGAUGGCGGAAUGUGGCAUGUAGCGGUGAAAUGCAUAGAUAUGCCAUAGAACACCAAUUGCGAAGGCAGCUAUCUGGUCUUUUAUUGACGCUGAGGCACGAAAGCGUGGGGAUCGAACAGGAUUAGAUACCCCGGUAGUC
rnacentral:rRNA from 1 species